rnacentral:rRNA from 1 species
UACGUAGGGCGCAAGCGUUUGUCCGGAAUUAUUGGGCGUAAAGAGCUCGUAGGCGGUCUGUCACGUCUGCCGUGAAAACCCGAGGCUUAACCUCGUGGCUUGCGGUGGAUACGGGCAGACUAGAGGUAGGUAGGGGAGAACGGAAUUCCCGGUGUAGCGGUGAAAUGCGCAGAUAUCGGGAGGAACACCGGUGGCGAAGGCGGUUCUCUGGGCCUUACCUGACGCUGAGGAGCGAAAGCAUGGG